GUACAUAUUGGCAGCCAUGUAGCUAUGUAGUUGCUUUGAAGAAUUUUUUCCCUUGUCUGGUGAUUGGUUGGACUUUGAAUACCUCCUAUCCUUAUAGCCAUGGAACACGUGACAUUGACUCCAUUUACACUUGAGGAAGCAAUAACGAACAUAUUUGCAACAAGGGGCUACAUCGAGUUGGUUGCCUCGCGAAUUGGAAAUGUUUUGCCGAAUUCCAGGAUAUCGCCAAGUGUGCCAUCUUGUCACAAUCGUUUUUCUCCUUAGGAUAUUACCAAUGUGCAGUUGAAUUCUAAAGGGUUUUGUUUGAUAUGCUAUAUUUAAAGAACUGAUGUUGGCACCAGCUUGAUGGAAAAAAGUCAUUUCCAAUGUGGGCGCAGGAAACUUGGAUUUAUUUGGUGAUAGAGUCGGAUGGUUUUUCUGAAGUUGCAGUUUGAAACAACCUUUCAAAGCCUAAAUUCAUCUUCGUAGAAAGGGACUUGUUAAAAGUAACACUGGCUCUGUAAAUGUUCUUGGUUUGGGGCAAGACAUAGAAUAAACUGUGAUUAUUGGAUGGAAGACAU